AAUGCCUGGUCCUCCGCAAAUGAACCACUUUCCACAUGAUGGCAGACAUCAACCGCAGAGGUGGGACCAGGAGCCUCAGCGAAGGCAAAGGCAAAGGAUUUUCUGUCCGACCAAAAGAAGUAUUGUCAACAAACAGGUCCUUCGUCGCUUGCUGUUCUUCUUCUUCUUCUACUUCUUCAUCUUCGACUUCUUCUUCAAUAGUGGUUUGGAAAGGAAAAAACAAGUGGAUUACCGCCAACUACUGGUAUGGAGUGUGGAUCAGCUCUGCCUUCUAAACUGUUUCACCUUUUUCGCCCUGGCGAGUAGAGAAAACUUUCUCAGCUAACAGGAUUAUCCCUCAAUCCCAGCUGGUCAGAGUUGGAUUUGACCACCCCGACAACCACAGAGAGGAAAUCUUUUUGGGUCUAAAUCCAAAUUGGCACCCUUGAUUAUUUUAUCUUUCCCCCCAAAACCGAAAAUGUGGGAGCACAAUUCAGAUUUGUUAUUAUAUUUAAAAAUUGGAACUAAAAAAAAGACUGUGAUAUGGUCUUCCAGAUAUCUUUAAGAAGUAAUCAUAUGCUUUUAAAAAACAUUCUAUGUACAGAAAUGCUAAGUGUGACAAUGUCAUGUAAAAGAUUGAAAUAAACACUGCCAAGCAAUUACUUUGCAAAGAAUAUUAAGGUCCAAUUCUGAAUAUUUUAUAUCUUAAGUGGAGUGGAUAUUUCAGCUUUGAAGCAUGUGUAAGUACGAUUGUGUGAAUUACGUCUUUCACUUCAAUCUGAUCGAUAACUUUCACAGAACAUUUCAGCAACAGUGUUGAGAGGUGAUUGUACUGCAUUUGCUGAGGUAUUAAAAGCAAAUUCAAGCUUUAAAGGGCAACACACUCGCAAGGACAGAAAGCUGUGCUGAUUCAGAGGCUUGUGCA